rnacentral:rRNA from 1 species
GACGGAGGAUGCGAGCGUUAAUCGGAAUUACUGGGCGUAAAGCGCGCGUAGGCGGUUUGUCAAGUCGGAUGUGAAAGCCCCGGGCUCAACCUGGGAACUGCACCCGAUACUGGCCGACUUGAGUGCGAGAGAGGGAGGUAGAAUUCCAUGUGUAGCGGUGAAAUGCGUAGAUAUAUGGAGGAAUACCGGUGGCGAAGGCGGCCUCCUGGCUCGACACUGACGCUGAGGUGCGAAAGCGUGGGUAGCAAACAGG